rnacentral:sRNA from 1 species
CUUCCUCGAUCUGCUGCGGAGCGAUGAAAUGGAUAUGGCUGUCGAUGCCGCCCGCGGUGAGGAUGCGGCCCUCGCCGGCGAUGAUUUCCGUCGACGGACCGAUGACGAUGGUCACGCCAUCCUGCGUAUCGGGAUUGCCGGCCUUGCCGAUAGCGGCGAUGCGGCCAUUCCUGAGGCCGACAUCCGCCUUGACGAUCCCGGAAUGGUCGAGAAUGACCGCAUUGGUGAUGACGGUAUCCAUCGCCCCUUCGGCGCGGGUCGCCUGCGACUGGCCCAUGCCGUCACGGAUG